GUGGGGUAAUGGCCUACCAAGGCGACGACGGGUAGCCGGCCUGAGAGGGCGACCGGCCACACUGGGACUGAGACACGGCCCAGACUCCUACGGGAGGCAGCAGUGGGGAAUAUUGCACAAUGGGCGCAAGCCUGAUGCAGCGACGCCGCGUGAGGGAUGACGGCCUUCGGGUUGUAAACCUCUUUCAGCAGGGAAGAAGCGCAAGUGACGGUACCUGCAGAAGAAGCGCCGGCUAACUACGUGCCAGCAGCCGCGGUAAUACGUAGGGCGCAAGCGUUGUCCGGAAUUAUUGGGCGUAAAGAGCUCGUAGGCGGCUUGUCACGUCGGGUGUGAAAGCCCGGGGCUUAACCCCGGGUCUGCAUCCGAUACGGGCAGGCUAGAGUGUGGUAGGGGAGAUCGGAAUUCCUGGUGUAGCGGUGAAAUGCGCAGAUAUCAGGAGGAACACCGGUGGCGAAGGCGGAUCUCUGGGCCAUUACUGACGCUGAGGAGCGAAAGCGUGGGGAGCGAACAGGAUUAGAUACCCUGGUAGUCCACGCCGUAAACGUUGGGAACUAGGUGUUGGCGACAUUCCACGUCGUCGGUGCCGCAGCUAACGCAUUAAGUU
rnacentral:rRNA from 1 species